GUGUUUGGAUAAGCCUAGUGCGUAUGGCCAGUGCGCACAUUUUAUUUUAUUUUUUGAGUCACAUCCAGGGAUAGUGGGGGUCGCCAGUCUCUGGCACGGUUAUUUUGGGGGUUAUUUUAUUUGUUUAUCUAAUGUUAAACUGUGGGCAACAGGUGUCCUACUGUCGCUAGACGCUUCCGAGUAGUUGGUGGGUAGAUCUACUACUGAAGGUCUCGGGUGAAAAGACGUUUCAACGAAGCCCUGCACUGUUUACCAAGGAACCUAGCCAACAAAGCAGUGUUCUCAUGCCAGCUUGUGGUGACG